GCUCCCCAUUCGACCCGU
rnacentral:snRNA from 1 species